rnacentral:pre_miRNA from 1 species
AAUAGGAGAAUGACAAAUCAAAUUUUUCCUCUUGAUUUUCAGCCUUUUCUUCCUGAAAAAUUCAAAUCCAACUGAAAAUGUUAAAAAUUAGAAAGAAAAAAUUUGAUUUAUCAUUCUUCUAUU